AUUUGUAGGUAGUGCAGCAGUUCAGCACGCGCCCCUGGACAGUGUGAAAUCUGGGUUCGAAUCCCAGCUAAUGCAAAUA